AAUGAACGUUGGCAGCGUGGAUUAGGCAUGCAAGUCGAGCGACAAGGUCCUUGGACGUGGAGGAGCGGCAAACGGGUAGGUAAUACAUCGGAACGUACCCUCACGUCUGGGAGUAGCCACGGGAAACUGUGGGUAAUACUGGAUAAUCUCACCACUUGUGAAGAGUGGUGAGCAAAGGUCCGCCGCGUGAGGAGCGGCCGAUGCGAUACUAGAUAGUUGGUGGGGUAAUGGCCUACCAAGUCUAAGAUGUCUAGGGGGUGUGAGAGCAUGGCCCCCACCACUGGGACUGAGACACUGCCCAGACACCUACGGGUGGCUGCAGUCGAGAAUCUUUGGCAAUGGGCGC
rnacentral:rRNA from 1 species